GAUGAACGCUGGCGGCGUGCCUAAUACAUGCAAGUCGAGCGAACGGACGAGAAGCUUGCUUCUCUGAUGUUAGCGGCGGACGGGCGAGUAACACGUGGAUAACCUACCUAUAAGACUGGGAUAACUUCGGGAAACCGGUGCUAAUACCGGAUAAUAUGUUGAACCGCAUGGUUCAAAAGUGAAAGACGGUCUUGCUGUCACUUAUAGAUGGAUCCGCGCUGCAUUAGCUAGUUGGUAAGGUAACGGCUUACCAAGGCAACGAUGCAUAGCCGACCUGAGAGGAUGAUCAGCCACACUGGAACUGAGACACGGUCCAGACUCCUACGGGAGGCAGCAGUAGGGAAUCUUCCGCAAUGGGCGAAAGCCUGACGGAGCAAUGCCGCGUGAGUGAUGAAGGUCUUCGGAUCGUAAAACUCUGUUAUUAGGGAAGAACAUAUGUGUGAGUAACUGUGCACGUCUUGACGGUACCUAAUCAGAAAGCCACGGCUAACUACGUG
rnacentral:rRNA from 1 species